GUACACGCUGUGACUAGCAUAUCAAUAAGCGGAGGAAAAGAGGGCUAUUACCUACGCUUAGGAUGUUGACACACGCGCGUGCUCGAUGAUAGUCUAUACAUGACUCUGUGCAUAUCAAUAAGCGGAGGAAAAGAAACUAACAAGGAUUCCCCUAGUAACGGCGAGUGAAGCGGGAAGAGCUCAAAUUUGAAAUCUUAAAGGGUUUCCCUUUACGAAUUGUAGUUUAAAGAAGUGUUUUCUGUUGAGGUUUUGGUAAAAGUUCUUUGGAAUAGGACAUCAUAGAGGGUGAGAAUCCCGUAUUUGACCUUUACUUUCAACUUUGUGAUACACUUUCAAAGAGUCGGAUUGUUUGGGAAUGCAGUCCAAAAUGGGUGGUAAAUUUCAUCUAAAGCUAAAUAUUGGCGAGAGACCGAUAGCGAACAAGUACCGUGAGGGAAAGACUGAAAAGAACUUUGAAAAGAGAGUUAAACAGUACGUGAAAUUGUCAAAAGGGAAGCGUUUGACACCAGUGUUGUUUUUCUGAAAAUCAAUUAAAGAACUGUUUAUGCUAAGCUGUUUAGACUUUAUCAGCUAACUGUUUAGUUUUGAGCUUUUCUUUAAUGCACUUUUCAGUUAACAAGUCAACAUCAAUUUCUUUUGCUAUAAAAAAGCUUGAGGAAGGUGGCUUGAGAUUCGUCUUAAGUGUUUAUAGCCUCUUGCCUAUGCAGUCGGAGAGAUUGAGGUCUGCAGCGUAGAUCCUUCGGGGCUAAAUGCAUUUGUGCUAAGUUAUAGCAUUUUAUAGACAACUUGUUGACUAUGAUUUGUCUUGUAGCUUACUCGCUUAUGUUAUUUUACCUACGCUUAGGAUGUUGAGUCGUAGAGCACGCAG
rnacentral:rRNA from 1 species